CCCUUUUCCGGUUGAUCCUGCCGGAGGCCAUUGCUAUCGGAGUCCGAUUUAGCCAUGCUAGUUGUGCGGGUUUAGACCCGCAGCGGAAAGCUCAGUAACACGUGGCCAAGCUACCCUGUGGACGGGAAUACUCUCGGGAAACUGAGGCUAAUCCCCGAUAAAGCUUUGCUCCUGGAAGGGGCAAAGCCGGAAACGCUCCGGCGCCACAGGAUGCGGCUGCGGUCGAUUAGGUAGACGGUGGGGUAACGGCCCACCGUGCCCAUAAUCGGUACGGGUUGUGAGAGCAAGAGCCCGGAGACGGAAUCUGAGACAAGAUUCCGGGCCCUACGGGGCGCAGCAGGCGCGAAACCUUUACACUGUACGAAAGUGCGAUAAGGGGACUCCGAGUGUGAAGGCAUAGAGCCUUCACUUUUGUACACCGUAAGGUGGUGCACGAAUAAGGACUGGGCAAGACCGGUGCCAGCCGCCGCGGUAAUACCGGCAGUCCGAGUGAUGGCCGAUCUUAUUGGGCCUAAAGCGUCCGUAGCUGGCUGAACAAGUCCGUUGGGAAAUCUG
rnacentral:rRNA from 1 species